rnacentral:rRNA from 1 species
UACGUAGGGUGCAAGCGUUAAUCGGAAUUACUGGGCGUAAAGCGUGCGCAGGCGGUUAUGUAAGACAGAUGUGAAAUGCCCGGGCUUAACCUGGGAACUGCCAUUUGUGACUGCAUGGCUAGAGUUUGGCAGAGGGGGGGGUAGAAUUCCACGUGUAGCAGUGAAAUGCGUAGAUAUGUGGAGGAACACCGAUGGCGAAGGCAGCCCCUGGGUCAAGACUGGACGCUCAUGCACGAA